AGAGUUUGAUCCUGGCUCAGAUUGAACGCUGGCGGCAUGCUUUACACAUGCAAGUCGGACGGCAGCACAGGGAAGCUUGCUUCUCGGGUGGCGAGUGGCGAACGGGUGAGUAACAUAUCGGAACGUACCGGGUAGCGGGGGAUAACUGAUCGAAAGAUCAGCUAAUACCGCAUACGUCUUGAGAGGGAAAGCAGGGGACCUUCGGGCCUUGCGCUAUCCGAGCGGCCGAUAUCUGAUUAGCUGGUUGGCGGGGUAAAGGCCCACCAAGGCGACGAUCAGUAGCGGGUCUGAGAGGAUGAUCCGCCACACUGGGACUGAGACACGGCCCAGACUCCUACGGGAGGCAGCAGUGGGGAAUUUUGGACAAUGGGCGCAAGCCUGAUCCAGCCAUGCCGCGUGUCUGAAGAAGGCCUUCGGGUUGUAAAGGACUUUUGUCAGGGAAGAAAAGGCCGUUGCCAAUAUCGGCGGCCGAUGACGGUACCUGAAGAAUAAGCACCGGCUAACUACGUGCCAGCAGCCGCGGUAAUACGUAGGGUGCGAGCGUUAAUCGGAAUUACUGGGCGUAAAGCGGGCGCAGACGGUUACUUAAGCAGGAUGUGAAAUCCCCGGGCUCAACCCGGGAACUGCGUUCUGAACUGGGUGACUCGAGUGUGUCAGAGGGAGGUGGAAUUCCACGUGUAGCAGUGAAAUGCGUAGAGAUGUGGAGGAAUACCGAUGGCGAAGGCAGCCUCCUGGGAUAACACUGACGUUCAUGUCCGAAAGCGUGGGUAGCAAACAGGAUUAGAUACCCUGGUAGUCCACGCCCUAAACGAUGUCAAUUAGCUGUUGGGCAACUUGAUUGCUUGGUAGCGUAGCUAACGCGUGAAAUUGACCGCCUGGGGAGUACGGUCGCAAGAUUAAAACUCAAAGGAAUUGACGGGGACCUGCACAAGCGGUGGAUGAUGUGGAUUAAUUCGAUGCAACGCGAAGAACCUUACCUGGUUUUGACAUGUGCGGAAUCCUCCGGAGACGGAGGAGUGCCUUCGGGAGCCGUAACACAGGUGCUGCAUGGCUGUCGUCAGCUCGUGUCGUGAGAUGUUGGGUUAAGUCCCGCAACGAGCGCAACCCUUGUCAUUAGUUGCCAUCAUUCGGUUGGGCACUCUAAUGAGACUGCCGGUGACAAGCCGGAGGAAGGUGGGGAUGACGUCAAGUCCUCAUGGCCCUUAUGACCAGGGCUUCACACGUCAUACAAUGGUCGGUACAGAGGGUAGCCAAGCCGCGAGGCGGAGCCAAUCUCACAAAACCGAUCGUAGUCCGGAUUGCACUCUGCAACUCGAGUGCAUGAAGUCGGAAUCGCUAGUAAUCGCAGGUCAGCAUACUGCGGUGAAUACGUUCCCGGGUCUUGUACACACCGCCCGUCACACCAUGGGAGUGGGGGAUACCAGAAGUAGGUAGGGUAACCGCAAGGAGCCCGCUUACCACGGUAUGCUUCAUGACUGGGGUGAAGUCGUAACAAGGUAGCCGUAGGGGAACCUGCGGCUG
rnacentral:rRNA from 1 species